AGGUUAGGUCCGUACUGUCGAUCAGCAUUUCACGUUGACCUGAUAAAAAUAUUUCACUUGAAGUAUUCAUCGUCAUGUUAAUUCGUUUAUAAAGAUUUUUGAUUAGAGAUUUGUCAUAGAACAGUGUUUUGCACAACAACAUUGGUGAAACGCGAAGAGAAAUGUACCUGUAUGUUCGCUCCUUUACGCCGUUUUUCGGAUGGGUAAAGCUAGGUAGUACAUAGAUAGUACAUAUGUGAAGGGUCCCCGGCCAAUGACACUGCCAGCUCAAUGCUUUUGCGAUUGUCCAUUGAAUUGAGAUUAUGCGAAUUCAACCAAGAUCCAGAAUAUUUCUACCUUUCACAAAUUCGAUAUAGUUUAGAAAGCUGGUGUCGUGUAAAAUUAUUAAGGAAAAUACGCUGUACCAUAUAAUAGUAUAUCAGAAUGCUAUAGACACUGAUAACAUUGGAGAACUUUAUGGCAUAAUGUGUAUUGUGUAUGUCGAGUAUUGCUACUUUAUGUCUUCGAUUGUGGCAUUAUUAAUUGGAGAAUUCAUUGCUGAUAUCCUGGUAUUAGUCACAACAUUUGACGUGGAUUGAAUAGCAGAGCAAAUUAUAUAUACGUGUCACGAGUAGUUGUCCUGCCCAUCAUUUUUCAUCGAAAUCAAUUUAAAUUUUCCGAGACACGAGGAUUUCUAUUUCAUAUUCGCAGAAAUUCAUAUAUUGCAAGGCAGAACAGGUGUUCAAGAAAUUCUCUGUACUGCUGUUCCUAUAAAGAAUACCCGUGGGAAGUCUCGAUAAUAAAAGAAUAGUGAUAAAAGAAUAACAAUAAGGAGAUAAAGGAAAUAGAGCAACAGAAGGAGAGACGGAGAGAUGAAACACUCAGCGUCCGGAUCAUAGGUACACAGUGAGAAAAGUGCUGCUCACCUAAAGGGUUUCAUCGUCUCCUUUUAUUGCACGGCUCAUUGUCGGUUUUGUGUCCACUCGUCGUUCUCGUUGUCUUCAGUAAAAGUGAAUACCUAUUGGGCAUUAUACAGCAGAGGUUUCAUUAGUCAUCUUCUUCUAUGUAUCAUUCUGUGAGAAAGGGGAAUAGAAAUAAAAAGAGAAGUCGCUCUUUUAAAGUGUUGUUCGCUUUUUCCCGCUACACCGUUUCGCGUUUAUACAGCCAAAGCAGAAAGUAAUGUUAAUCAGACCAAGUGCAUAUCGGG